GUUUGGUUGGUGAUGCUUGUAGGGGGGUGGUGAUGUAUUUAUAUGGCCUACAAGCGAGAGAGGGUCCUUAUCUUGGAAGAUAUAUCGGCGAAUUCUUAUUGGUUGAUAUUUGCAAGUGUGAUUUUCUUUGUCCACUUGGCACUCUCUGAACCACUCUUAUCAAUCUCCAUGAUUCUGUUUGGGUUCAAUAAGUGAUAACGAGACGUUGGCAGGGAUCUGCUAUGGAGUUGGAUUCCAA
rnacentral:misc_RNA from 1 species